UACGUAGGGAGCAAGCGUUGUUCGGAUUUACUGGGCGUAAAGGGCGCGUAGGCGGCGCGGUAAGUCACUUGUGAAAUCUCUGAGCUUAACUCAGAACGGCCAAGUGAUACUGCAGUGCUAGAGUGCAGAAGGGGCAAUCGGAAUUCUUGGUGUAGCGGUGAAAUGCGUAGAUAUCGGGAGGAACACCAAUGGCGAAGGCGAGUCCCUGGACAACUCCUGACACUGAGGCACGAAAGCUAGGGGAGCAAACAGG
rnacentral:rRNA from 1 species